rnacentral:ncRNA from 1 species
AGUCGGGGGCAUUCGUAUUUCAUAGUCAGAGGUGAAAUUCUUGGAUUUAUGAAAGACGAACCACUGCGAAAGCAUUUGCCAAGGAUGUUUUCAUUAAUCAAGAACGAAAACACGGGGUUUAUUAUGGCUAUCCUAAUGAUAAGUGUUGAUCAAAUGUUGGGUUUAGUCAAAUAAAUUAGGAAAACACGGGGUUUAUUAUGGCUAUCCUAAUGAAUCCUAAGGUUAAAUACUUGAAUUGCA